rnacentral:rRNA from 1 species
UGCCCACUGAUAAUAAAUUAAAGGGCUGCAGUAUUCUGACUGUACAAAGGUAGCAUAAUCAUUAGUCAUUUAAUUGAUGACUUGUAUGAAAGAUUGGAUGAAAUAUAAACUGUCUUUGGUAUAUAAUAUAAAAUUUAAUUUUUUAGUUAAAAAGCUAAAAUUAUUUAAAAAGACGAGAAGACCCUAUAGAGUUUAAUUGAUAUUGAAGUAAAAAUUAUUUUUAAAUAAAAUUAAUUUAUAUUUUAAUAUAAAUUUUAUUGGGGUGAUAGAAAAAUUAAAUUAACUUUUUUUAUUAAUAUAACAUAAAUAAGUGAUUAAAUGAUCCAUUAAUAUUGAUUAAAAGAAAAAAUUACCUUAGGGAUAACAGCGUUAUUUUUUUUUCUAGUUCUUAUAGAAAAAAAAGUUUGCGACCUCGAUGUUGGAUUAAGAUAAAGUUUAAAUGUAGAAGUUUAAAUAUUUGA